GCCUUUGUGGUGUAACGGUAGCACACUCGGCGCGUAUUCGAGAGGUCCAGGUUCGAGUCCCGGCGAGGACA
rnacentral:tRNA from 1 species